rnacentral:rRNA from 1 species
CCUGCCCACUGAAUUUUAAAGGGCCGCGGUAUUUUGACCGUGCGAAGGUAGCAUAAUCAUUAGUCUUUUAAUUGGAGGCUUGUAUGAAUGGUUGGACAAGAAGAAAGCUGUCUUUAUGAAAAAUAUUGAACUUAACAUUUGAGUAAAAAGGCUUAAAUAGAUUAGGGGGACGAUAAGACCCUAUAAAGCUUUAUAUUGCGUUGUAUUUUUUAAGAAAGUGGUAAAAAUUAAACUAUGAGACACAAUAUUACGUUGGGGCGACGAAGGUAGAAAGAAGUAUCUGCUUUACAUUAAUAACGGAGAUUUUCGGAUGGUUAAUUGAUCCUAGUUAAAGAUUAAAAGUUUAAGUUACUUUAGGGAUAACAGCGUUAUUUUUUUUGAGAGUCCAUAUCGAGAAAAAAGAUUGCGACCUCGAUGUUGAAUUAAGUUGUCUAUCUAUGUGCAGAAGCUAUAUAAGACGGUCUGUUCGACCUUU